GACGAACGCUGGCGGCAGGCCUAACACAUGCAAGUCGAACGAGUGGCGGACGGGUGAGUAAUGUAUGGGAAACUGCCCGAUGGAGGGGGAUAACUACUGGAAACGGUAGCUAAUACCGCAUACAAUCGGAUGUGCCCAGAUGGGAUUAGCUAGUAGGUGGGGUGAAGGCUCACCUAGGCGACGCUCUAUAGCUGGUCUGAGAGGAUGAUCAGCCAAACUGGGACUGAAACACGGCCCAUACUCCUACGGGGGGCAGCAGUGGGGAAUAUUGCACAAUGGGCGGAAGCCUGAUGCAGCCAUGCCGGGUGUAUGAAGAAGGCCUUAGGGUUGUAAAGUACUUUCAGCGUGGAGGCGUUACCCGCAGAAGAAGCACCGGCUAACUCCGUGCCAGCCGCCGCGGUAAUAC
rnacentral:rRNA from 1 species